UGGGGAAUAUUGGACAAUGGGCGCAAGCCUAAUCCAGCCAUGCCGCGUGUGUGAAGAAGGCCUUCGGGUUGUAAAGCACUUUCAGCGGGGAGGAAGGGGUUGUUGUUAAUAGCAGCAAUCUUUGACGUUACCCGCAGAAGAAGCACCGGCUAACUCCGUGCCAGCAGCCGCGGUAAUACGGAGGGUGCAAGCGUUAAUCGGAAUUACUGGGCGUAAAGCGCACGUAGGCGGUAUGUUAAGUUGGAUGUGAAAGCCCCGGCUGCAACCUGGGAAUUGCAUUCAAAACUGGCAUGCUAGAGUAUGUGAGAGGGGGUGGAGAAUCAAUCAGUGUAGCGGUGAAAUGCGUAGAGAUUUGGAGGAAUACCAGUGGCGAAGGCGGCCCCGCCGCACAAUACUGACGCUCAGGUGCGAAAGCGUGGGGAGCAAACAGGAUUAGAUACCC
rnacentral:rRNA from 1 species